AUUGAACGCUGGCGGAAUGCUUUACACAUGCAAGUCGAGCGGCAGCACGGGGGCAACCCUGGUGGCGAGCGGCGAACGGGUGAGUAACACAUCGGAACAUGCCCAGUCGUGGGGGAUAACACUUCGAAAGAAGUGCUAAUACCGCAUACGUCCUGAGGGAGAAAGCGGGGGAUCGCAAGACCUCGCGCGAUUGGAGUGGCCGAUGUCAGAUUAGCUAGUUGGUGGGGUAAAGGCCUACCAAGGCAACGAUCUGUAGCUGGUCUGAGAGGAUGAUCAGCCACACUGGGACUGAGACACGGCCCAGACUCCUACGGGAGGCAGCAGUGGGGAAUUUUGGACAAUGGGGGCAACCCUGAUCCAGCCAUUCCGCGUGAGUAAAGAAGGCCUUCGGGUUGUAAAGCUCUUUCGGCAGGAACGAAACGGUGAGCUCUAACAUAGCUUGCUAAUGACGGUACCUGAAGAAGAAGCACCGGCUAACUACGUG
rnacentral:rRNA from 1 species